AGUGAACGCUGGCGGUAGGCCUAACACAUGCAAGUCGAACGGCAGCACAGGAGAGCUUGCUCUCUGGGUGGCGAGUGGCGGACGGGUGAGGAAUACAUCGGAAUCUACUCUGUCGUGGGGGAUAACGUAGGGAAACUUACGCUAAUACCGCAUACGACCUACGGGUGAAAGCAGGGGACCUUCGGGCCUUGCGCGAUUGAAAGAGCCGAUGUCGGAUUAGCUAGGUGGCGGGGUAAAGGCCCACCAAGGCGACGAUCCGUAGCUGGUCUGAGAGGAUGAUCAGCCACACUGGAACUGAGACACGGUCCAGACUCCUACGGGAGGCAGCAGUGGGGAAUAUUGGACAAUGGGCGCAAGCCUGAUCCAGCCAUACCGCGUGGGUGAAGAAGGCCUUCGGGUUGUAAGGCCCUUUUGUUGGGAAAGAAAUCCAGCUGGCUAAUACCCGGUUGGGAUGACGGUACCCAAAGAAUAAGCACCGGCUAACUUCGUGCCAGCCGCCGCGGUAA
rnacentral:rRNA from 1 species